rnacentral:rRNA from 1 species
UACGUAGGGGGCAAGCGUUGUCCGGAUUUAUUGGGCGUAAAGAGCUCGUAGGCGGUUUGGUAAGUCAGGUGUGAAAUCUCCACGCUCAACGUGGAGGGGCCACCUGAUACUGCCAUGACUGGAGUCCGGUAGAGGAGUGUGGAAUUCCCGGUGUAGCGGUGAAAUGCGCAGAUAUCAGGAGGAACACCGGUGGCGAAGGCGGGUCUCUGGGCCGAUAUUGACGCUGAGGAGCGAAAGCGUGGGGAGCGAACAGG